rnacentral:tRNA from 1 species
GGCGCAGUCAGGUAGCGCACUAGCAUGGGGGGCUAGGGGUCGCUGGUUCGAAUCCAGUC